CAGGCUUAACACAUGCAAGUCGAGGGGCAUCAGGAAGAAAGCUUGCUUUCUUUGCUGGCGACCGGCGCACGGGUGAGUAACACGUAUCCAACCUGCCCUUUACUCGGGGAUAGCCUUUCGAAAGAAAGAUUAAUACCCGAUAGCAUAAUGAUUCCGCAUGGUUUCAUUAUUAAAGGAUUCCGGUAAAGGAUGGGGAUGCGUUCCAUUAGGUUGUUGGUGAGGUAACGGCCCACCAAGCCUUCGAUGGAUAGGGGUUCUGAGAGGAAGGUCCCCCACAUUGGAACUGAGACACGGUCCAAACUCCUACGGGAGGCAGCAGUGAGGAAUAUUGGUCAAUGGGCGCGAGCCUGAACCAGCCAAGUAGCGUGAAGGAUGAAGGCUCUAUGGGUCGUAAACUUCUUUUAUAUAGGAAUAAAGUGCAGUAUGUAUACUGUUUUGUAUGUAUUAUAUGAAUAAGGAUCGGCUAACUCCGUGCCAGCAGCCGCGGUAAUACGGAGGAUCCGAGCGUUAUCCGGAUUUAUUGGGUUUAAAGGGAGCGUAGGUGGACUGGUAAGUCAGUUGUGAAAGUUUGCGGCUCAACCGUAAAAUUGCAGUUGAUACUGUCAGUCUUGAGUACAGUAGAGGUGGGCGGAAUUCGUGGUGUAGCGGUGAAAUGCUUAGAUAUCACGAAGAACUCCGAUUGCGAAGGCAGCUCACUGGACUGCAACUGACACUGAUGCUCGAAAGUGUGGGUAUCAAACAGGAUUAGAUACCCUGGUAGUCCACACAGUAAACGAUGAAUACUCGCUGUUUGCGAUAUACAGUAAGCGGCCAAGCGAAAGCAUUAAGUAUUCCACCUGGGGAGUGCGCCGGCAACGGUGAAACUCAAAGGAAUUGACGGGGGCCCGCACAAGCGGAGGAACAUGUGGUUUAAUUCGAUGAUACGCGAGGAACCUUACCCGGGCUUAAAUUGCAGUGGAAUGAUGUGGAAACAUGUCAGUGAGCAAUCACCGCUGUGAAGGUGCUGCAUGGUUGUCGUCAGCUCGUGCCGUGAGGUGUCGGCUUAAGUGCCAUAACGAGCGCAACCCUUAUCUUUAGUUACUAACAGGUUAUGCUGAGGACUCUAGAGAGACUGCCGUCGUAAGAUGUGAGGAAGGUGGGGAUGACGUCAAAUCAGCACGGCCCUUACGUCCGGGGCUACACACGUGUUACAAUGGGGGGUACAGAAGGCAGCUAGCGGGUGACCGUAUGCUAAUCCCAAAAUCCUCUCUCAGUUCGGAUCGAAGUCUGCAACCCGACUUCUUGAAGCUGGAUUCGCUAGUAAUCGCGCAUCAGCCACGGCGCGGUGAAUACGUUCCCGGGCCUUGUACACACCGCCCGUCAAGCCAUGGGAGCCGGGGGUACCUGAAGUACGUAACCGCAAGGAUCGUCCUAGGGUAAAACUGGUGACUGGGG
rnacentral:rRNA from 1 species